AACUGACAAAUGAUGUCACAGAUACAAAGAUAUACACACACUAUUGAUCCCACGUACACAGGGUGAAUCAUUUCCAAUGUGCGAAGAGUUUCUCCAGUAAGACCCAGAUAAUUCAGCUCAAAUCUGAAAUGUUACGUGUUCUACUCCACACCCCCAAUGUAGCUGAACCACAGAACCUGCAAAAUGAAACUGCAGCUCAUUUCCGAUGAGGUAAUCCCAAGGAUUGCUGAAGUCAGGCCACUUAUAACAUAGCUAAUGAUCAGGGAUGCGCAAAACUGGUGCACGAGUAUGCAUCCACCAAAUAAAGUGCUACGGUUUUAAAUUUCUGUACUUAUUUUAUGUGUAUUUGCUCUGUUAUGACAAGAAAUUUACCAUGUCUUUUAAUCACUAGACCACAAAUAAAGUACAUAUGAGGUGGACAAACGUUAAAAUGCACAACUAGUCAUAAUAGAGCAAAUCCACACAAGUACACCCUUGCGAAAUAAUGACAAGAAACUGCUGUGCAUAUCGCUUUAUGACAUGAACAUGUACUCGCACACCAAUUAGGUGCAUCCCUGCUAAUGCUUCCAGAUAUUACUGGUGGGUGUUUCUGUACAUUUUUAUAUUAACAUUGCUUAUUGCUGCUUUUUAAUACAACCAUUUUUGGGUUCUAUUGUUCCUGUGGCACAAACUAAACUUGGACAACUCCUAACCAGGUAAGCCCUAUUUCCACUGCACAAUAAGAAUACCUCAUCACCAACAUAUUUAUAAAUUAAUUUGUAACUCAUGCCCAUUUCUUGCAGGGUCAAGUAUCCAUGUUUAAGAAAGUCCAUAGCCUCCUGUUUCCAUCAGCCUGAAACAGCACACCGAUCCAUUUAACAAAUGCCUGGAAAGCUUUAUGCCCCCCACCACACACACACACACACACACACACACACACACACUAUAAAUAUCCUACAGAUGCCCAUUUUCUGGACAUUACCAAACAAAGACUGCACACUUCCCAUUUCCUACACACCCAGAGCCCAGGACGAUCUCUGUAUGCUCAAGUGUCACAUCUGCUAAUCCUCUGAAGGAUCCUCCGAGAAGGACCUCCCCUCCCAUCGCCCAUCACCACUGUUUCGGGAUCAGCCCUGAAGCCUCAGAUACAAUUAAGUAACCAUGAGGCCCAACACGGUCAGCACCAGCUCCAGGUGUAUGACAGACAUCAAGCCCACACCAUGAUUCCCCUCUCCAGCUUCACAAUGUUCCCACGUCAUUUAGUGAGAACAUAUUUUUAAAAAUAUAUACACUGCUUAGGUCAGUUUAGUCAGCAGUGCAGUGGCCUUGCCCCUCCAUGACUGUAGGUUUGAUUCCCACACGAAGCUAUUAGUGAAUUUUUCAUGCUCUCCUCAUUGUGCUCCUGAAUUGCCUUUAAUGUGUGAGUAUGCCCUACAAUGAAGAGAGACUGCCAUGAUCCUCUUUUGGACAAUGGCAAUGAGACGCACUGCUUGACAUUGCAUUGGUCGCCCCGUGACUCAAACAUAAUUCGUUGUGCUUGUAAACCUGCCUGCAAUUAACCAGAAUUACGACAGAAAAUCAUCAAAAGCGCCAGUUAAAAUGUCAUUUACAAACACAUUACAGUAAACACUGCUAUGGUUUCGGUACAGCCAACCUGUUAACCACUAACUUAUUAACUGUGCGACCAGUGGGGAUCAGAGUUCAGACCCACAAGAAAACAUACCCGAAACCGAACUAAACCGCUGCAGCAAUAAAUUUCCCUAGUUACAUAAAUAGGUAGCGGAGUACGGCGCUGACAGUCGGAGACUUGGCAAAACAGAGGCACGUUUAUCGAUGGUGCUGCUAAUGAAACUCGCAUACAAAAAGGUAUGUAAGAUGUAUCUUUAGCUUGUAGGUAAGGUACAACCCUGUUUUUUAUUUCUGCUUGAAAUUUCCGAACAGAAAAUUUCAAGUCAAAUAUGAAAUAUACAAGAACCAAACAGCAGAACUCAAAGUUUCUGACCGGGCGGCAUUCAGCGCGACACCUACUUUCCCCCGAGUACAAAACGCUCCACCGCAUAGAUCACAGUCAAAUAAAAUACUAAGAUGCUUAAAUCAAGCGCGAAGAACGAAGAUAAAUUUUAUUUAACCAAGACACACACCGGCAGUUCGGCUAACAUUGAAAGAGGAUGAAACCCACAGAAGCACAGGGAGAACAUGCAAACUCCACGCGCAGAGCCAGAGGUGGGGGUUCAAGUCCCCAACCCUGGAGGUGUGCAGACCCUGUUCUGCCCUCAAGCCAUGAAAUCAUUACUGCUAAUAUUAUGUGACACUGCAUCCAGCAUAUCAGUGGCCUAGUUUGUAAGGUUAGCUGUGGUUCUAGAAGGGGACUCUUUGAGCAUGAGGGUCAUAACAAAUAAAAAGGUAAUUUAAUAGAUUAUCAGAAUAGACAUAAGCACAUUCUGCAAGAGAAUGGCGAGAGGGAAAAUAUGGUGUAAACGAGUCUCAUAUCAGUUGAGUGCUGAUGAAACCAAAAAAAUCAAGGAAGCACAAAAACUUUUACCAGUACUUUCCAUUUCAACAUCAGCACUGGCAUUACAGUCAGUUCACCAGAUAUGUAACUGUUUCAAUGAAAAUAAGUCAUACAUCUCCUUGGAAUGUACCUUACGGAUACAUAGUGACCACCAAGACCACGAGACCAAGACAAGACCAAGACCAAGGCAGGGCUAGACCAAGUCAAAAUCAGAAAAAGGCUAAUGUUUGAGUCUACAUAACACAACUCACUAUAAAAUGUGGAGUACAGACACCAUCUUGGUGCUAGGCAGUAUGGCCUAAAAUUUGUGUCACAGUACAAUUUGAACUAUGGAUGCUUUUUUUCUUAAAAUUUAAAUAUAAAUGCUUCUGUACAAAUGUAACUUUUUUUUCCAAAUAAGAUGCACCUUAUUGGUUGCAUUUGAACUUUGAAGCAGGAUGUUUUACACCCAAUCGCAGCACUGUUAACCCUUUGAACCCUAUCCAUUUUUGAGCGUUUUUCUAUCCCUUUGAUUUUAGGUUUAUAUAUGCUUUACGGUUUUGUUUUCUGGACAUUCUGGGCUACUCAGAUAUAUCAUAAUUUGAUGUGUAAAUGUUGACACAAUGUUGAUAUCAUCCUUAUAAGGAAAAACUACUUGCGCCUA